GACGGAGGAUGCAAGUGUUAUCCGGAAUCACUGGGCGUAAAGCGUCUGUAGGUCGUUUAAAAAGUCUACUGUUAAAAAUUGAAGCUUAACUUCAAAGGUGCCGUAGAAACUUUUAAACUUGAGUAUGGUAGGGGUAGAGGGAAUUUCCGGUGUAGCGGUGAAAUGCGUAGAUAUCGGAAGGAACACCAGUGGCGAAAGCGGCUUCCUGGUCCGACACCGACGUUCAGGCACGAAAGCGUGGGGAGCAAACAGG
rnacentral:rRNA from 1 species